rnacentral:rRNA from 1 species
AAUGAACGCUGGCGGCAUGCCUAACACAUGCAAGUCGAACGAGACCUUCGGGUCUAGUGGCGCACGGGUGCGUAACGCGUGGGAAUCUGCCCUUGGGUUCGGAAUAACUCGCCGAAAGGCGUGCUAAUACCGGAUGAUGACGUAAGUCCAAAGAUUUAUCGCCCAAGGAUGAGCCCGCGUAGGAUUAGCUAGUUGGUGGGGUAAAGGCCCACCAAGGCGACGAUCCUUAGCUGGUCUGAGAGGAAGAUCAGCCACACUGGGACUGAGACACGGCCCAGACUCCUACGGGAGGCAGCAGUGGGGAAUAUUGGACAAUGGGCGAAAGCCUGAUCCAGCAAUGCCGCGUGAGUGAUGAAGGCCUUAGGGUUGUAAAGCUCUUUUACCCGGGAUGAUAAUGACAGUACCGGGAGAAUAAGCCCCGGCUAACUCCGUGCCAGCAGCCGCCGUAA